rnacentral:rRNA from 1 species
AACGAACGCUGGCGGCGUGCCUAACACAUGCAAGUCGUGCGAGAAAGUUCCUUCGGGAGCGAGUAAAGCGGCGCACGGGUGAGUAACACGUAGGUAACCUGCCCCCCAGUCUGGAACAACUAGAGGAAACUCUAGCUAAUGCCGGAUGAGACCACGAUCCCUUCGGGGGUUGCGGCCAAAGACGGCCUCUACUUGUAAGCUAUCGCUGAGGGAUGGGCCUGCGGGCCAUUAGCUUGUUGGUGAGGUAACGGCUCACCAAGGCUGUGAUGGCUAGCUGGUCUGAGAGGAUGACCAGCCACACUGGGACUGAGACACGGCCCAGACUCCUACGGGAGCAGCAGUGGGAAUAUUGCGCAAUGGGCGAAAGCCUGACGCAGCGACGCCGCGUGGGUGAUGAAGGCC